rnacentral:rRNA from 1 species
AGAUGGCGACCGGCGCACGGGUGAGUAACACGUAUCCAACCUGCCGAUACCUCGGGGAUAGCCUUUCGAAAGAAAGAUUAAUACCCGAUGGCAUAAUUAGACCGCAUGGUCUUAUUAUUAAAGAAUUUCGGUUAUCGAUGGGGAUGCGUUCCAUUAGGCAGUUGGUGAGGUAACGGCUCACCAAACCUUCGAUGGAUAGGGGUUCUGAGAGGAAGGUCCCCCACAUUGGAACUGAGACACGGUCCAA